rnacentral:rRNA from 1 species
ACGCUGGCGGCACGCCUAACACAUGCAAGUCGAACGAAGUAGCAAUACUUAGUGGCAGACGGGUGAGUAACAUGUAGGUAUCUGCCCUUUGGCCUGGAAUAACACGAGGAAACUUGUGCUAAUACCGGAUAAGUCUUUACGGAGAAAGCUUUAUGCACCAUUGGAUGAGCCUGCACUUGAUUAGUUUGUUGGUGGGGUAAUGGCCUACCAAGACUGUGAUCAAUAGCUGAUUUGAGAGGAUGAUCAGCCACAUUGGGACUGAGACACGGCCCAAACUCCUACGGGAGGCAGCAGUGGGGAAUCUUGCACAAUGGAGGAAACUCUGAUGCAGCGAUGCCGCGUGAGUGAAGAAGGCCCUUGGGUUGUAAAGCUCUUUCGUCGGGGAAGAAAAUGACUGUACCCGAAUAAGAAGGUCCGGCUAACUUCGUGCCAGCAGCCGCGGUAAUACGAAGGGACCUAGCGUAGUUCGGAAUUACUGGGCUUAAAGAGUUCGUAGGUGGUUAAAAAAGUUGGUGGUGAAAUCCCAGAGCUUAACUCCGGAACUGCCAUCAAAACUUUUUAGCUAGAGUAUGAUAGAGGAAAGCAGAAUUUCUAGUGUAGAGGUGAAAUUCGUAGAUAUUAGAAAGAAUACCAAUUGCGAAGGCAGCUUUCUGGAUCAUUACUGACACUGAGGAACGAAAGCAUGGGUAGCGAAGAGGAUUAGAUACCCUCGUAGUCCAUGCCGUAAACGAUGUGUGUUAGACGUUGGAAAUUUAUUUUCAGUGUCGCAGCGAAAGCGAUAAACACACCGCCUGGGGAGUACGACCGCAAGGUUAAAACUCAAAUGAAUUGACGGGGACCCGCACAAGUAGUGGAGCAUGUGGUUUAAUUCGAAGAUACGCGCAGAACCUUACCAACACUUGACAUGUUCGUCGCGACUUUAAGAGAUUAAAGUUUUCGGUUCGGCCGGACGAAACACAGGUGCUGCAUGGCUGUCGUCAGCUCGUGUCGUGAGAUGUUGGGUUAAGUCCCGCAACGAGCGCAACCCUCACUUUUAGUUGCCAUCAUUUAGUUGGGCACUCUGAAAGAACUGCCAGUGAUAAGCUGGAGGAAGGUGGGGAUGACGUCAAGCCCUCAUGGCCCUUACGUGUUGGGCUACACACGUGCUACAAUGGUAUCUACAACAGGAAGCAAGACUGCGAAGUUAAGCAAAUCCUUAAAAGAUACCUCAGUUCGGAUUGCACUCUGCAACUCGAGUGCAUGAAGCUGGAAUUACUAGUAAUCGUGGAUCAGCGUGCCACGGUGAAUGCGUUCCCGGGUCUUGUACACACCGCCCGUCACACCAUGGGAGUUGGUUCUACCUUAAGGCAAGGUUUCAAACCCUUGACCACGGUAUAGUCAGCGACUGGGGUG